CAUGCGACGUUGAACGGGAAGAGUAGCGAUUGGAAACUUUACCAGAGAGCCGGGCAGGGUGGAAACCGGCAAAGGGAACAAUCGGGAAAAUCACCCGGGAGUCGUGGACUGAACCCGCCUCUUUUUCAUGGUUUUUUCAGCAAGGGCGGUAGUAAGUUUCACCGUGCUGGCCUACGUUACAGGGCUCAAUGAGCGGCCGUUUUUUCCAAAGCGGCAAUCAGGGUGGUACCACGGGAAACCAAAGUCUCUCGUCCCUUUG
rnacentral:ncRNA from 1 species